rnacentral:lncRNA from 1 species
AUGAGAAAAAGCCAACUCCUAGGAGCACAGGGAACAAUGGACCUCAUGGCAAGUGCUGGAGAUCAGAGAAGACAGGUUUCACUCAACCCAGUCUUGGAGUUCACUGAAGGAGGGUCCUUCUCCUGGUCACCUCCGUGUCCUCCCGGUGCAUCAGAAGUCUCCAUGUGUUUUUGUGGCACGAAUAAACAAACUAAUGAAUGUGCGAAUGUUAC